UCUCCGUAGGUGAACCUGCGGAGGGAUCAUUACAGAGUUCUCGCCCUCGCGGGUAGAUCUCCCACCCACUGUUAUCGCUACCAUGUUGCUUUGGCGGACCCGUCUAACGACCGCCAGAAGUUUGGGGGGACCCCCCAACUUUUGGCCCGUGUCUGUCAAUGGCCCUAUUCAAAUUCUUGAUAAAUUGUGAUGUCUGAGUUAUAAACUUAAUAGUUAAAACUUUCAACAACGGAUCUCUUGGUUCU
rnacentral:misc_RNA from 1 species